CGCCUGUUUUACAAAAACAUGGUCUUAUGAAUUAUUUUUAUAUAAGAUCUGGCCUGCCCAAUGUUUUAAUGAAUGGCCGCGGUAUACUGACCGUGCGAAGGUAGCAUAAUAAUUAGGUUAUUAAUUGUAAUCUUGUAUGAAAGGUUGGACGUAGGAGUUGCUUUCUUAUUUAUAUUGUUGAAUUUAAGUAAUCAGUAAAAAUGCUGAUGUGUUUUAAGAAGACGAGAAGACCCUAUUGAGUUUUAUAUUUGAGCUUUUGUUUUGAUGGUUGAUGUUUAAUGGUGAUUAAUAUUUGGUUGGGGUGACUAUUUUAAAUAACCAUUAUUUGUUUUUUUGUUUAAUUUUUGAUCCAUUAUUAUUGAUUAAUAGAAUAAAUUACCAUAGGGAUAACAGCGUAAUUUAUCUGGAGAGUUCUUAUUGAUGGAUGAGUUUGUGACCUCGAUGUUGGAUUAGGAUUCCUUCCAGGUGCAGGUGCUGGAA
rnacentral:rRNA from 1 species